CUCCUACUGACUGACUGACUGUGUGAGGUAAGGGGAUGGUAGAGGGUACUCUCCUACUGACUGACUGUGUGAGGUAAGGGGAUGGUAGAGGGUACUCUCCUACUGACUGACUGUGUGAGGUAAGGGGAUGGUAGAGGGUACUCUCCUACUGACUGACUGUGUGAGGUAAGGGGAUGGUAGAGGGUACUCUCCUACUGACUGACUGACUGUGUGAGGUAAGGGGAUGGUAGAGGGUACUCUCCUACUGACUGACUGUGUGAGGUAAGGGGAUGGUAGAGGGUACUCUCCUACUGACUGACUGUGUGAGGUAAGGGGAUGGUAGAGGGUACUCUCCUACUGACUGACUGUGUGAGGUAAGGGGAUGGUAGAGGGUACUCUCCUACUGACUGACUGUGUGAGG